UACAGAGGGUGCAAGCGUUGUUCGGAAUUAUUGGGCGUAAAGGGCGUGUAGGCGGUUUGCUAAGUCAUGUGUGAAAUCCCCCGGCUUAACCGAGGAACGACGCAUGAUACUGGCAAGCUAGAGUACCAAAGAGGGGGGUGGAAUUCCCGGUGUAGCGGGUGGAAUGCGCAGAUAUCAGGAGGAACACCGGUGGCGAAGGCGGGUCUCUGGGCAGUAACUGACGCUGAGGAGCGAAAGCGUGGGGGAGCGAACAGG
rnacentral:rRNA from 1 species